UCAAAAUUUCUUAGGGCUGAGCUUGCUGAAAUUGGAGUAAUACAGAGAAGAUCAUCAUGGCCCUCAUAAGGAGGAUAUGCAAAUUCAUGAACUAGUUUUUU
ensembl:snRNA U6 U6 spliceosomal RNA